UUCCAAUGAACAGUUGACUGAUUCCUGUUAAAAAUAUGUCAGGAAAAAUAUUGUUCAGCAAAUUUCAAGAAUAAAACUUUAUGCAUCAUUCUACGAUUUUAGGCCACCUCUCAUAAAUUCAAUGGUCUCCACCCACUACAUUGCAAUCCUAACGCCAUUUUCAACUGGGGAGACGUCAAGGCACUUUUAUCAUAUGGGAACUCAAAAUUUCAGUUUUACAAAGGAACAGUAAUGAGAUGAAAGAACAAACCAUAUGUGGCCUGCUCCAAAGCAGAAUGGCAGAAAAAGGAUUAGACUAAUCUGUUUGGCAUUGUUGUUUGAGCUAUUGUCAAGAAAAGCACUAUCUAAAAAUAUUAAGGACCAUUAAAUUUUGAU
rnacentral:misc_RNA from 1 species